rnacentral:lncRNA from 1 species
UGCUAUCACAGAAAUGCCUUUUGUUUUCUGUAAGUGAGUAGUGUGAUGACUUUCUUGCUCAUGAAGAUGAAGGACAAGAACUACUCUGGACUGAGGUCCCACACUAAUCCACACCAUCAGCAUCCACCGUAUUGCUCUGCUCAACCUGGACCCAGAGGGAUGCCACACGGCAGCUUCAUCCCACCCUGCCCUAAUGAGGGCCAGCAUUUGAAGGAUCUCGGCUCUUGGCUCUCUGAAUCUUGUUCCCAUGCUCUUCUGCUACAGCAAAGCUCUUGGGAUGAAGGCCAGGAGCUGCCCAGGUAAGCAGCUGGUCCUGCUGAUGUGGGGAGUGGGCUUCUC